GGGCCCAUAGCUCAGUUGGUUAGAGCGCUCGACUCAUAAUCGAUCGGUCGCAGGUUCGAGUCCUGCUGGGCCCACCA
rnacentral:tRNA from 1 species